rnacentral:rRNA from 1 species
UGCAGUCGACGAUUAAGACUUCCUUCGGGAAGUGUAUAAAGUGGCGCACGGGUGAGUAACACGUAAGUAAUCUACCUUCGAGUGGGGAAUAACAUCGGGAAACCGAUGCUAAUACCGCAUAACGCAGCGGCAUCGCAAGAUGACAGUUGUUAAAGGAAUUUAUUUCGCUUGAAGAGGAGCUUGCGGCAGAUUAGCUAGUUGGUAAGGUAAUGGCUUACCAAGGCUACGAUCUGUAUCCGGUCUAAGAGGACGGUCGGACACACUGACACUGAAUAACGGGUCAGACUCCUACGGGAGGCAGCAGUCGGGAAUUUUGGGCAAUGGGCGAAAGCCUGACCCAGCAACGCCGCGUGAAGGAUGAAGUAUUUCGGUAUGUAAACUUCGAAAGAAUAGGAAGAAUAAAUGACGGUACUAUUUAUAAGCUCCGGCUAACUACGUGCCAGCAGCCGCGGUAAUACGUAGGGAGCAAGCGUUGUUCGGAUUUACUGGGCGUAAAGGGCGCGUAGGCGGCGCGGUAAGUCACUUGUGAAAUCUCUGAGCUUAACUCAGAACGGCCAAGUGAUACUGCAGUGCUAGAGUGCAGAAGGGGCAAUCGGAAUUCUUGGUGUAGCGGUGAAAUGCGUAGAUAUCAAGAGGAACACCUGAGGUGAAGACGGGCUGCUGGGCUGACACUGACGCUGAGGCGCGAAAGCUAGGGGAGCAAACGGGAUUAGAUACCCCGGUAGUCCUAGCCCUAAACGAUGAAUACUUGGUGUCUGGAGUUUCAAUACU